GACGAACGCUGGCGGCGUGCCUAAUACAUGCAAGUCGAGCGAAAAGAUCAUGCGUUUGCGCCUUGGACGUUAGCGGAGGACGGGAGAGUAACACGUGUAUAACCUACCUAUAAGUCGGGGAUCACCUGGGGAAACCGGCUCUAAUACGGGAUAAUAUACUGAACCGCAUGGUGCAAUAGUGAAAUACGGCUUUGCUGGCUCUUCUAGAUGGAUCCGCGCCGCUUUAGCUAGUUGGUAGGGUAACGGCUUACUAAGGCUACGAUGCGUGGCCGACCUGAUAGGCUGAUCGGCCACCUUGGAGCUGAGACGCGGUCCAGACUCCUACGAGAGGCCGCAGAAGGGAAUGUGCCGCAAUGGGCGAGAGCAUUACGGAGCAAGGCCGCGUGUGUGAUGAAGGUCUUCGGAUCGUGAAACUCUGUUAUUAGGGAAGAACAACUGUGUAAGUAACUAAGCACGUAUUGACGGUACCUGGUAAGAAAGCCCCGGCUAACUACGUG
rnacentral:rRNA from 1 species